rnacentral:rRNA from 1 species
AUCUACAUAGAUUUUAUUGAUGCUAAAGAAUGGAAAAUUAAAAAAAAACUUUUUUAAAAAUAAAAAUUGAAUUUUUUUUAAUUUGUGCAAAAACAAUUAUAUUUAUUAAAGACAAGAAGACCCUAAGAAUUUAAGAUUUUACAAUUAAAAAGUUUUUUUUUAAAAAUUUUGAUGGGGGGAACCAAAAAAUAUUAAUAACUUUUUAAAAUUUAAAUUGAUCUAUUAUUAAUAAACUAAUGAAUUAAAUACUCUAGGGAUAACAGCGAAAUAAUUUUUGAUAAAUCUUAUUGACAAAAUAGUUUGCGACCUCAAGGUUGGAUUAGGAUUCUUUUUUAAGGAAAAAGUAAAAAAAAGAAGUUGGUCCACCUUUUAAAUUCCUACUUGAUCUGAGUCCAAACCGGA